CACCAAUCAAGCCUGGCUUGGUAUUGGGCGUCGGGAGACCCCGCGCCCUCAAUUCAUCGGCUGGACGGUUCGACUCUCAGCGUUGUGGUCAUUCAAUUCGCUGGCGAGGACGACUGGACGCGCCGUUAAACCUCUAUCACA
rnacentral:misc_RNA from 1 species